rnacentral:rRNA from 1 species
UACGGAGGGUGCAAGCGUUAUCCGGAUUUACUGGGUUUAAAGGGUGCGCAGGCGGAUAUGUAAGUCAGUGGUGGAAUCUCCGGGCUUAACCCGGAAACUGCCAUUGAUACUAUCUGUCUUGAAUAUUGUGGAGGUGAGCGGAAUAUGUCAUGUAGCGGUGAAAUGCUUAGAUAUGACAUAGAACACCCAUUGCGAAGGCAGCUCACUACGCAUAUAUUGACGCUGAUGCACGAAAGCGUGGGGAUCAAACAGG